CCGCCCGCUGCUCGCCGUCGUGUCUCCUUGCCAAGGGCUGGCUACCAUCGUACCACGUUCGCCUCUCUGCUCCCGUCAAGUUCAGGCAUUUGUUCAGGCCCCUGCACCACAAGGCUUGAGAAGGCGGGUGAAUACACCGUUCAACCUCGGGAUCAUGCUGGCCGAAGACUUCGCCUAGGCACACAGAAUGGCAAAUCGAUCCGGUCGUUCGUGGCAGCAGUAAGCUCAAUACGCUGGACAGCUGCAGCUUGCUUGGUCUGCCCAUAUGAGCAGGAAAAAUUUGAACCCUCUUAAGACUACCAGAAAUAGCUCAGGGUAUACAGUGAUAUUAAUAAACAUGCGCUAUUUCGUGAGCUUUGGUAGAAGUAAGAUCCUUUUAGAUGAUACACACUUAUUCAUGUAUGACUUGCUGCAUCCACUCCCCACAUUAUAUUUUUCAAUCAGUACACAUUUCAUUUUUAUUAAUUAAGAGACUGUUUUGGAUAAAUAUUGGAUUCAUUUGGUUCAGAGAAAUGUUAGCUUAACUACCAGUAUUUUUAUACACUGAGAUUCAUCCUCUAUACAACCUUUAGGCAGAACUGUAAAUGGAUUAAACUACAUAUUU